rnacentral:rRNA from 1 species
AUGUGUCCACCCCCGACAUCUGGAGCGGAUCCACUGCAACUGAAGUACUACGAUUUUGCGGGACGGAUGAUCGGACUGGCCCUGAUGCACAACGUCCCGGUGGGGGUUCGGUUUGACCGGACGCUCUUCUUUCAGCUAGCCGGGAGGCCUCUCACCCUGGACGACGUUGCAGACGCAGACCCAAGCACGCAUGCAAGCUGCAAGAAAAUCCUAGAGAUGGAUCCUGAUCUCGUCGAUUCAGACGCGCUGGGUCUCACAUUUGCGUGGGAAGUUGGGGUAUUUGGCUCAGGGGAUGUCAUCGAUCUCCUUCCGGGAGGGAGAGAUAUCGCUGUCGAUAGCAAGAACAGAGGCCAGUACAUCGAUCUGCUGAUCCAAAGUCUCUUCAUGGCCAGCACCAAAGAACAACUAACUCAUUUCGCUAAGGGGUUUUCCUACAUGCUCGUAAAGCCGGAGUUACGGAAACUUUUCUUCCUGAGCUUGCAUUUGGAAGAUCUUGACAGUAUGCUGGGCGGGCGCAUCGGCACCAUUGAUGUGCAGGAAUGGAAAGAAUAUACCAGAUAUGAUGGGGGGUACACCCAACAAGAUGAUCAGAUCAACUGGUUCUGGGAGGCCGUGACAAGCAUGAUGGUUGAAGAGCAACGACGAUUGCUCUUCUUCUGGACCUCCGUCGAGUAUCUGCCAUUUGACGGUUUCCGCGGGCUAGACCUUGGCAGUGGUCUAGUCAUAUCAAAAGCAUCAUCGAAGAUCUCGGAGCAUCUCCCUUCAUCGUCCACCUGCAUUUACCAACUGAACCUACCAAUGUAUACCUCCUUCGCCAUGAUGUUGAGCCGGCUACAGAAGAUCACCCAGGAGCAUGUGAGCAACAGCUUUGGUGAGAUAUGA